CAGCUGCAGAGGGGCAAGUGGGGAAGAGGGGUCCUGCUUCCUUCCUGGCUUUGCACUGGACUUGCUGGCCAGCAGGAAGGCAUGUGGUUCAUGCUUGUCCGCAUUCCCUCACGCUGUGCCCCAGGGGCCAGCUUCAGGGAAGGCAGCCCUUUGGGCCCAACUAUCCUGCAACAAGUCCCGGGGUCCAGCUCCAGACACUUCUUCUGGGAAGCCUUCCUGACCCCCUUCAUCUCCUGCUCUGACCAUCCACUCUUUCCAAGGUGAUACCUGCCCAUGUCUGUGCUGCAGAGUCCACUCCCCCAGCAGGCACGUUUAGUGAUCGUCGUGUUGGAGGAAUCCUCGCAGUGUUUGGCAACCAGAGCUCUCGUUUGGGGCUGCCCAGGUCCCGCUGUCAAGUCAUGCAUCACUUUACUAAAGAUGAGAUGUGGAUUUGGGGCAUUUUUCUUUUGAAAAAUCAAUAACUCAUUAACAAGGGACUGAAUAAAGGGGGAAAUGAAAGCCACUUGCCAUUCCUGUCGGUCAGCAGGGGGCAGA